GGGUAGAAUCCAGCACAAUAUGAGUCUUCUGUGCUUGGUUCUAGAGUUAUUCCAUAAACAUAUUAGAAGGUCAAUGUUUAUUAAAUAAACAGAAAUAUGAUCCAUCAGCUUCAAAGUCAAUCCUAGCCAGAAGGAACCGAAGAAACCUCUUGACAGAAAAUGAACAGCUCAAAUACACUGCAAACUGUGGCCAAAACACAUGCCUUAGUUUCAGAAAUAUUGAAUCUGUGUCAUACAUUUGGACAAAUCUCAGGCAUCAAGAAAGACUCACGAUUUCAACUGAUAUUUAUUGAGUAUGUCUUAUGUGUUAAGUGGAUUACAUGCUCUGGCAAGCAGCCUCUAAAAUGGACCUACAAUCUCAUCUCCAGGGAAUUCAUGCCACUGCAUGAUGUCCUCCCUUCAGGUGGGACCUGGACUUACUGACACUCACUUCCAAUGAAUAGAAUUAAUUGUGGUCAUUCUGAUGUUCACGCAACAUCUACUUCCUUGCUUUUAUUCCUGAGCAUUUUCGGAUCACUCUUCCACAGACAAUUCAGGCUUGCUGAGAGAAUUAAGUAGUGAAUCAACUUCCACCAUUCAUAUCAGUGACCGUGUCAACAACUUUUAAACUUGUUUAAAUAAAACUAAUAUU